rnacentral:rRNA from 1 species
GACGAACGCUGGCGGCGUGCUUAACACAUGCAAGUCGAACGGAAAGGCCCUGCUUUUGUGGGGUGCUCGAGUGGCGAACGGGUGAGUAACACGUGAGUAACCUGCCCUUGACUUUGGGAUAACUUCAGGAAACUGGGGCUAAUACCGGAUAGGAGCUCCUGCUGCAUGGUGGGGGUUGGAAAGUUUCGGCGGUUGGGGAUGGACUCGCGGCUUAUCAGCUUGUUGGUGGGGUAGUGGCUUACCAAGGCUUUGACGGGUAGCCGGCCUGGGAGGGUGACCGGCCCCAUGGGACUUGGGAACGGGCCAGGACUCAAACGGGAGGAAGGGGUGGGAAAUAUGCCGAAAGGGGCGGAGGCAUGAUGGAGAAACGCCGGGUCGGGAAUGACGGCUUUUGGGUUGUAACCAGUUUGCGCGUGUGAAGACGCGUGAUGACGGUAAAUGGGUAAAAAGCCACGGCUAACUACGUG